rnacentral:rRNA from 1 species
AGUGAACGCUGGCGGUAGGCCUAACACAUGCAAGUCGAACGGCAGCACAGUAAGAGCUUGCUCUUACGGGUGGCGAGUGGCGGACGGGUGAGGCAUACAUCGGAAUCUACUUUUUCGUGGGGGAUAACGUAGGGAAACUUACGCUAAUGCCGCAUACGACCUACGGGUGAAAGCAGGGGAUCUUCGGACCUUGCGCGAUUGAAUGAGCCGAUGUCGGAUUAGCUAGUUGGCGGGGUAAAGGCCCACCGAGGCGACGAUCCGUAGCUGGUCUGAGAGGAUGAUCAGCCACACUGGAACUGAGACACGGUCCAGACUCCUACGGGAGGCAGCAGUGGGGAAUAUUGGACAAUGGGCGCAAGCCUGAUCCAGCCAUACCGCGUGGGUGAAGAAGGCCUUCGGGUUGUAAAGCCCUUUUGUUGGGAAAGAAAAGCAGCAGGUUAAUACCCCGCUGUUCUGACGGUACCCAAAGAAUAAGCACCGGCUAACUUCGUG